GGACUCGUGCUUUCUAGAGAUAGGAAGUUCCUUCGGGACACGGGAUACAGGUGGUGCAUGGUUGUCGUCAGCUCGUGUCGUGAGAUGUUGGGUUAAGUCCCGCAACGAGCGCAACCCUUAUUGUUAGUUGCCAUCAUUAAGUUGGGCACUCUAGCGAGACUGCCGGUAAUAAACCGGAGGAAGGUGGGGAUGACGUCAAAUCAUCAUGCCCCUUAUGACCUGGGCUACACACGUGCUACAAUGGUUGGUACAACGAGUCGCAAGACAGUGAUGUCAAGCUAAUCUCUUAAAGCCAAUCUCAGUUCGGAUUGUAGGCUGCAACUCGCCUACAUGAAGUCGGAAUCGCUAGUAAUCGCGGAUCAGCACGCCGCGGUGAAUACGUUCCCGGGUCUUGUACACACCGA
rnacentral:rRNA from 1 species